UACGUAGGGAGCGAGCGUUGUCCGAAGUUACUGGGCGUAAAGCGCGCGUAGGCGGGCUGUUAAGUGAGAAGUGAAAGGCUGGGGCUCAACCCCAUGCAGUGCUUCUCAUACUGGCAGUCUUGAGGGCGGUAGAGAGAAGUGGAAUGGCUGGUGUAGCGGUGAAAUGCGUAGGUAUCAGUCGGAACACCGGUGGCGAAGGCGGCUUCUUGGGCCGUUUCUGACGCUGAGGCGCGAAAGCCAGGGGAGCGAACGGG
rnacentral:rRNA from 1 species